ensembl:lncRNA
AUGCAAAAUUUCCUGUGUUUGCUCAUGCCAAGAACUGGUACAGUAUAGAAAACAAUGAGAAUUUGUGUGAGUUAACUGGAAUCUCAAGCUGCAUGUUGCAACUCUAGUAUUGACAAAAAUUAUCAACAAAUCCCAAAUUUUAAUCAUAUUUUUAUCCAGUCAUUUUACUCAAUGAUUUGUUCCACGGUAAGCACCAAUUUACUGCCAUAUGCAUAAUUUUUAAGUCUAAAAUAGUACCGAGGGAGUACUGUUGUGAUCACAUAUAAUUUCACUGAAUCAUACCAUUAAGCUCUCACAAGCUGAGACUACCUAUUACAAUGUUAGGUGGCAUUUUGUACACUUUACGGACGAAUUAAUCAGAGUAUUCAAACGGAGUGGAGGAUAUGAUUGUUGGUCUAAUACAAGUCUGUUAUUUUUAAUAAUGGUUAGUUGUAUAAUUGGGUCUUCUUUAGAUGUGUGACAGAAACAAGAGAUAAUUUUGGAACAGAGUGUGGGCACAGAAUACACUCCUAUUGUGAAGUAAACCUGAUAUCAGUCCAGUAAACCAGCGGUCUCCAACCUUUUUUGCGCCACGGACCGGUUUAUGCCCGACAAUAUUUUCACGGACCGGCCUUUAAGGUGUCGCGGAUAAAUACAACAAAAUAAAACUAGUACCGGUACCGAAAAAAAGAAAAAAGAAGAAACCGAGUUAACAAUAAACGAUAACAAAAUAACGCUGAAAACCGAUAAAAACCGUGAAAACCAUACAUUUCACACCCGAGCCUCAACUCUCGCGGCCCGGUACCAAACGACUCAAGGACCGGUACUGGUCCGAGGCCCGGGGGUUGGGGACCGCUGCAGUAAACUACAGGAGGUUAGGAUUAAAUGUGAUUGAACAACUCGGAGGGUUCCCUAUACUGAACAGGUGAUGACAUCUUCAUAAUGUUUAUCACAUUCCAGCCCUGCCCUCGGUAUACAGCAAGUAACCGUUAUGGCCAGCAGCCUACUAAUACUUAGAAGGCUUACCCAGCUCCAGUCUGAACUGUAGUCAACAAACCUGUCUACAUAAUCUUUACACAUAAACACG